CCGCCAAGGCCACGGGGUUCUAAUUGUCUUUUGAACACCACGAUUUUUAAUUUUAAUGCAUGGAACAGGGUGAGUUUGACAGGCAUAGGCAAUGAUGAAUAAUACACCGCGCUCUGCGGUAGAUUUUACUAUAUCCACCACACCGGAAACAGAAAGCUCUGACGUCACAUACCCCAGUGUGUUCACUACCAGAUCGCCAUGGCGUUUCCAUCCAAAGGAGACUCAAGAUUCAGGGGCAGGUGUGAUAUCUGCUUCUCCGCGUAAAUCUAGAGGUCGAGAUCCCCAGAAAGCACAUUCACCACGGUCGAAGACGAAA